UGAGGAAUAUUGCGCAAUGGCCGAAAGGCUGACGCAGCGACGCCGCGUGAGGGAUGAAGUCCGUUAGGAUGUAAACCUCUUUUGCAGGGGAUGAAACCGCCGCUACAGGCGGCGGAUGACCGUACCCUGCGAAUAAGGAUCGGCUAACUACGUGCCAGCAGUCGCGGUAAUACGUAGGAUCCGAGCGUUGUCCGGAAUUACUGGGUGUAAAGGGCGUGUAGGUGGGUCUUUAAGUCGGUGGUGAAAUCUUGCGGCUCAACCGCAAAACUGCCGUCGAUACUGGGGACCUUGAGUGCGGAAGAGGGAAAUGGAAUUCAUGGUGUAGCGGUGAAAUGUGUAGAUAUCAUGAAGAACACCAGUUGCGAAGGCGGUUUCCUGGUCCGCUACUGACACUGAGGCGCGAAAGCGUGGGGAGCAAACAGGAUUAGAUACCCUGGUAGUCCACGCCCUAAACGAUGGGUACUAGGUGCUGGGCCGCAAGGUUCAGUGCCAAAGCUAACGCAUUAAGUACCCCACCUGGGGAGUACGAUCGCAAGGUUG
rnacentral:rRNA from 1 species